GUCCCUUUUUUCCUUUCCUCAUGGCAUUUUGCAUUUAUGGCUGUGAGCACAUGUUUGUAUGCAUAAUGAUUCCUAAAUUUUAGUUUUGUGCUUAUUUCUCUGUUGAUUGGAUCAUGGAGCCCACAUUUCAUUUGGUGUGGAAUAGUUCAGGGAGAGAGAAGGGGUUACCUACGACUGUGGCUGCAAGGAGGGAUGACGGACUAGAUUUGGUUGUAUGAAUUUUCACUUUAAAAUUUUACAAUCAUUUAUGAGAUGGCAAUGAUAGGCUAUGAAAACUCAAUGGUGUUGUGAUAUUCCAACAGACUAAUGAUAAUUGUGUGAUUAAACCACAAGCAAAGUUUUAAAAUACAUAAACAAUGUACCUUUGGAUUGGCUAUUAUGCAUGGACUCUUAUGGUUUCGUGUACUCUUAAAUAUAGGGAAUUUUCAUUUCUUCCUUAAUAUUAUAAGCAGGAAUGACAAUGCCCCUCUAUAAAUACGAAAAUGCUAUUGUUUCCCAAAGCAUCUGAGAAAUAAGAGUGCCAUUAAAAUGUACCAUCAAUUGGUUUUUAUCAUUGUGUCCAUUCAUUUAUUUACUUAUUUCUCAGGAGUAUUCUGAUGCCUUUCUUUUUUUUUUUUUUUUGUUUAAAUGCACUAACUCUUUCAAAUAAAUUUUUAGCUAUUACUGUGAUUGUUUUUUAUUGGUUUUUCCCACUCGAGCUAUGAACUUGCUGUUCCAUGUAUAUUCAUGCAAAUGUGAAGGUUGCUGUUAUGCAGCCGCUUAGUCCAGUUCAGUCUUCUUGUAAUUUAUAUUCAUAUUUUUGCCAAUUUCAGGUAUGCCACUACGAAAGCUUUCUGUAUAGCAUUUUUUAUGACAUUCUUCUGUAUAGCAUUUUUUAUGACAUUCUUUUUGUAGAACCCCAAAUAAUUCUAGACACCUUAGUCGCACUAAGACAUGAAUAUUGGAUGACUAAAGUAUACUUCAGAUUUUUAGUCUCAAUUGAGACCCAUUUUCGACAUAGGAAACAUUCGAUUUGGAAAAUGAUAACUAAAUAAAAGUUGUAGCUCUUUGAGUUAGCUUUCCAACGCACUUUGAAUUACCUCAAUCGAAUAUCGGGAGAAGAAGUUAUGAUAGAAACACUGAAAGCUGUGCAGUGUCAACCGGACUACAACUGGUAAACCGAAACUGCCUAAAAUGAAAAUUCUCGUUUUUCUCUAGAAUUUAAAUAUUUAUUUUCAUCAAUUAUUUUCUCAUAGGGCUACCCACGUUUUUGGCAAUAAAAACCUCAUUAAAUUGAAGCAUUUAACCUCAAACUUAAAUGGCACCCAUGUUUUCUCUUUUAAAUGAAAUUUGACCCUUUAUUUGCUUUAAGUUAUGAGAUAUUUACCUAUAAAUAGAGAUCUCAUUUCACUCAUUUUUUCUCACACCAAAAGCAAGAGCUUUUACAUACUAAAGAAAGAGUUUCCAAGAGAGAAAAAGAGAGGGAGGAAAACUAUUUUUCCUAGAAGUUUAAGAAGUAUUUUCAAUCAUUUUUCAUAGAAGUUUUGGGUGCUAUCAAGGAGUGUCUUCAAACAUCAAUUCUCAACGGUUUUCAAACAUCCAAGGAGUGCAUUUCUUUCAACGUUCAAGUUUCAUCGAAAUUUUCAAUCCAAAUUUUCAAAAGUAUAAAUCAAGGUAGGUAGAGGUGCAAUGUGUUUAAUCGUAUUAAGUUAUAAGUUUCGAUUCAUGUUAACGUUUGUAUGUCAAAUGGUACUCCGGUACGGCAUAUACUUCUAUGUUAAUGGUUGUAUGUCAAAUGGUACUCCGGUACGGCAUACCCUCUAUGUUGAAGAAAUGUUCGUAUGUCAAAUGGUGCCAUCGGGUACGGCAUAUCCCUUCAUGUCAAAUGGUGCCUCCGGGUACGGCAUGUAUGAGAAGUUAUAAAGUUAAUAUUUUGAAAUGUAUAACUUGAUCACUAAUGCACCUAUGACACCUAUUGAGUUUUUCAACUCACGGGUUUAAUCCCAUCUCUACAGAUUGAAGGAAUUUUACCUCGAGCAUGGAUGUAGGAGAAGAUGGAGAGUGAUGCAACGAGCCCAUAGAAAUUCGGUGAAUAAGUGAUUUGGAUUUAUUUUUAUGAAAUGUUUUCCAAUGUUAUUUCUUUAAAGUUUUGAAUAACGCAGAAUGCGAGAACAAGUUAUGUUUUCUUCAAAUAAAUUACAUUUUGUUGUUUUGAAAAAUGAUUCAGUGUUUUUGUUUAAAGUAUUUGAAGUAUUGCUAUUUAAAUUAUUAUCCGAAGAUGUAAGCUUCCGCUAAAACGUAUACACUUGUUACUAAACCAUCGGUUAAGCUAAGUAAAGUAAGUAGCGUUCCGGUUCACUAGGGGUCGGGGCGUUACACUUUUCCAUGUUUGAUGUCCCCGUCUUUUGGCCCAUCUUAUUGUGCUACUGGAUUGUUCUAUUUGCACUCACAAUGAGGCGUCAAAUCACGCACAUGAUCAAGUACAAAUACAUUCCAUUUAACAUUGGAAAGCAAGUUAGUGGAAGAAAUUUGUUGGUAUAUUUUCUCAGCUGUGUUGUUGCUACAAAUGGAAGCUUCUUCCUUGUAUUACCAUUUUGUAUUAGUAGUUGAGAAAACUCUUCUUGAUACACAAUGUCGGGUUGUGCUAGACAUUAAAUUGAAUAAGAUUUUAACUUUUUUUACUAAUAUUGUCGAUAUUUUCUGGUCCACCUAGCAAACCUGCUAUAAAAGCACUGCUCACUAGAUACCUUUUCUUUUUCUAUAUAACAGAAGUACAGUGGGAGAAAAUCUACUUCAAGUACCAGCAGACUGAUUCUUCAUGUUUUUUACUAAACAAGCGAGGAGGAAAAGGCAUGGAUGGGGGAAGAACAGGAGCGGCUAUAGUUUUUUACUUAAUUGGUUUGUAUUUUAUGUUAGAAAUUUACUACGGACCUCAAUAGAGAGUUUAAAUCAUGUUCACUAGCUGUUCUUCGAUUAUGGCAGUGAAAAGAUUGCAAAUUGUAUGUGUAGCAUGUUGAAUUAAAUAAGAAAGACACGUUAUAAAAGUUUGUGAGCUGCAUGAGGUCGCUAUUUGGGAACUCAAUGUCUUGGUAAUUUGACCUCAAAAUCUCUUUGUUCAUGCAGUCAACAAUUUAUAAUCACCUCUUUAUUCACUUAUGCAUCAC
rnacentral:lncRNA from 1 species